AUACUACUCCCUUCGUCUCAAAAUUCUGGUCUUACAUUUGUUUAGAUAUGAAUGUAUCUAGUCACAUUUUAGUAUUUAGAUACAUCCAUUUCUAGACAAACCUAAGAAGAGAAUUUUAAGACGGAGGGAGUACAUG
rnacentral:pre_miRNA from 1 species